rnacentral:rRNA from 1 species
CCUACGGGGGGCAGCAGUGGGGGAUAUUGCACAAUGGGGGGAACCCUGAUGCAGCGACGCCGCGUGGGUGAAGGAGCGUUUCGGCGCGUAAAGCUCUAUCGGCAGGGAAGAAGCUGACGGUACCUGACCAGGAAGCCCCGGCUAACUACGUGCCAGCAGCCUCGGGAAUACGUAGGGGGCAAGCGUUAUCCGGAUUUACUGGGUGUAAAGGGGGCGCAGACGGCAAUGCAAGCCAGGAGUGAAAGCCCGGGGCCCAACCCCGGGACUGCUCUUGGAACUGCAUGGCUGGAGUACAGGAGGGGCAGGCGGAAUUCCUGGUGUAGCGGUGAAAUGCGUAGAUAGUAGGAGGAACACCGGUGGCGAAGGCGGCCUGCUGGACUGUGACUGACGUUGAGGCCCGAAGGCGUGGGGAGCAAACAGGAUUAGAUACCCUUGUAGUC